GUGCCAGCCGCCGCGGUAAUACCGGCAGCUCAAGUGAUGUCCCAUAUUAUUGGGCCUAAAGCGUCCGUAGCUGGCCGAGUAGGUCCGUCGGGAAAUCCACGCGCUCAACGCGUGGGCGUCCGGCGGAAACCACUCGGCUUGGGGCCGGAGGACUCGAGGGGUACGUCUGGGGUAGGAGUGAAAUCCCGUAAUCCCGCACGGACCACCGAUGGCGAAAGCACUUCGAGAAAACGGAUCCGACAGUGAGGGACGAAAGCCAGGGUCUCCAACCGGAUUAGAAACCCUUGUAGUCC
rnacentral:rRNA from 1 species